GAUCCGCCUUCCUUUAUUCACUCUGAGUAUUCAUGUUAUGACGUAAUGGAAGUAUACUGCGGCUAUCAUUCAGUUUUAGUUCGUGCGCUUUCUAACUGCUUCAAGAUUAUAAAACGGAAUGUUGUACAUCAAUCAAGGUUAUUUCAAUCUCCAUGGAAGCAGCCAUCUUUGUGCUCUAACUGCUUUACCUCGCUGGUUGCAAUAGCCGCAACAGGAAGUCAAAAUCAAUGACAUCAUGGAAUUCAAGUACUGCAAGCAAAGCAUUC